rnacentral:rRNA from 1 species
GAGUUUGAUCCUGGCUCAGGAUGAACGCUAGCGGCAGGCCUAAUACAUGCAAGUCGAGGGGCAGCAGGGAUAGCAAUAUUCGCUGGCGACCGGCGCACGGGUGCGUAACACGUAUACAAUCUGCCUUUAACAGGGGGAUAGCCCGGAGAAAUCCGGAUUAAUACCCCAUAACAGAUCGAAUGGCAUCAUUUGAUUUUGAAAGCUCCGGCGGUUAAAGAUGAGUAUGCGUCUGAUUAGCUAGUUGGUGAGGUAACGGCUCACCAAGGCGACGAUCAGUAGGGGAUCUGAGAGGAUUAACCCCCACACGGAUACUGAGACACGGAUCCGACUCCUACGGGAGGCAGCAGUAAGGAAUAUUGGACAAUGCCCGCAAGGGUGAUCCAGCCAUGCCGCGUGCAGGAAGACGGCCCUAUGGGUUGUAAACUGCUUUUACACCGGAGAAAACCUUCCCUCGUGAGGGGAGCUGAUAGUAUGGUGAGAAUAAGCAUCGGCUAACUUCGUGCCAGC